UAAGGAAUAUUGGUCAAUGCCCGGAAGGGUGAACCAGCCAUCCCGCGUGAAGGAUGAAGGGGCUCUGCCUUGUAAACUUCUUUUGAAUGGGACGAAAAAGCCUCACUUGUGAGGAACUGACGGUACCAUUAGAAUAAGCACCGGCUAACUCCGUGCCAGCAGCCGCGGUAAUACGGAGGGUGCGAGCGUUAUCCGGAAUCACUGGGUUUAAAGGGUGCGUAGGCGGCUGUAUAAGUCAGUGGUGAAAGGCUGUGGCUUAACCAUGGGAUUGCCAUUGAUACUGUACGGCUUGAAUUAGGAUGAGGUUGGCGGAAUGUGACAUGUAGCGGUGAAAUGCUUAGAUAUGUCAUGGAACAUCGAUUGCGAAGGCAGCUGACUGGACCUUAAUUGACGCUGAGGCACGAAAGCGUGGGGAGCGAACAGGAUUAGAUACCCCCGUAGUCCCUGAGCGGGCUGGCAAGGCGCAU
rnacentral:rRNA from 1 species